rnacentral:rRNA from 1 species
UACGUAGGGGGCAAGCGUUGUCCGGAUUUAUUGGGCGUAAAGAGCGUGUAGGCGGCCAUGCAGGUCAGCUGUGAAAACUCGAGGCUCAACCUCGAGACGUCGGUUGAAACCGUAUGGCUAGAGUCCGGAAGAGGAGAGUGGAAUUCCCGGUGUAGCGGUGAAAUGCGCAGAUAUCGGGAAGAACACCCAUAGCGAAGGCAGCUCUCUGGGACGGUACUGACGCUGAGACGCGAAAGCGUGGGGAGCAAACAGG